rnacentral:rRNA from 1 species
AUACGAAGGGGGCUAGCGUUGUUCGGAAUUACUGGGCGUAAAGCGCAUGUAGGCGGACAUUUAAGUCAGGGGUGAAAUCCCGGGGCUCAACCGUGGAAUUGCACUUGAUACUGCAUUGCUUGAGUUCGGGAGAGGGUAGUGGAAUUCCAGGUGUAGGAGUGAAAUCCGUAGAGAUCUGGAGGAACACCAGUGGCGAAGGCGACUACCUGGACCGAUACUGACACUGAGGAGCGAAAGCGUGGGGAGC